UACAAACAACAAGGAAAAAACCUUUAUCACGAGCCAACCUCUUAUUUCUUUGCACGAAAACAUUCACCAAUUUCCCAUAUCGUGACAAGAGACCUCUGAUUUGGCCAUAGCUGACCAUCUCCGCAAUACCAUCGACAAAGAGAGAGACGCAAGACCUGCCAACCCCAGCAGGUCCUUGGUCGAAAACACCUCCCACCUCAUCUUCCUUCGGUUGGUCAUCCUCACCGUCAUCAACCCCAGCCUCCCCAAGACAACACCUUAGACUAGAAGCACAUCCACCCUGCGUUCCUCCACCAGAAGAGGACACAUA
rnacentral:lncRNA from 1 species